CCGGUCGGCCUCGGCGUAACUGAAUCUGCCUCUUGCCUUUUACCAGAGACAGCCAUGUUCCGGGCACUAACGACCGUUAAUCAAAUCUUUGGAAACCCUACCAGGAAC
rnacentral:snRNA from 1 species